rnacentral:rRNA from 1 species
AUACGGAGGAUCCGAGCGUUAUCCGGAUUUAUUGGGUUUAAAGGGAGCGUAGGCGGACGCUUAAGUCAGUUGUGAAAGUUUGCGGCUCAACCGUAAAAUUGCAGUUGAUACUGGGUGUCUUGAGUACAGUAGAGGCAGGCGGAAUUCGGGGUGUAGCGGUGAAAUGCUUAGAUAUCACGAAGAACUCCGAUUGCGAAGGCAGCCUGCUGGACUGUAACUGACGCUGAUGCUCGAAAGUGUGGGUAUCAAACAGGAUUAGAUACCCUGGUAGUCCACACAGUAAACGAUGAAUACUCGCUGUUUGCGAUAUACAGUAAGCGGCCAAGCGAAAGCGUUAAGUAUUCCACCUGGGGAGUACGCCGGCAACGGUGAAACUCAAAGGAAUUGACGGGG